rnacentral:tRNA from 1 species
AGGUAGAAUGGCCGAGUUUAGGUGGCAGGCUGUAAUCCUGUUCACAUAGGUGUGAGUCCUAUUUCUUC